AGGACGAACGCUGGCGGCGUGCUUAACACAUGCAAGUCGAACGGAACUCUUUGGAUCAAGGCUUCGGCCAAGUGAGAAUGAGUUUAGUGGCGGACGGGUGAGUAACGCGUGGGUAACCUGCCUCAUACAGGGGGAUAACAGUGAGAAAUCACUGCUAAUACCGCAUAUGCGCACAGUACCGCAUGGUACAGUGUGGAAAACUCCGGUGGUAUGAGAUGGACCCGCGUUGGAUUAGCUAGUUGGUGAGGUAGAGGCUCACCAAGGCGACGAUCCAUAGCCGGCCUGAGAGGGUGGACGGCCACAUUGGGACUGAGACACGGCCCAGACUCCUACGGGAGGCAGCAGUGGGGAAUAUUGCACAAUGGGGGAAACCCUGAUGCAGCGACGCCGCGUGAAGGAAGAAGUAUCUCGGUAUGUAAACUUCUAUCAGCAGGGAAGAUAAUGACGGUACCUGAUUAAGAAGCCCCGGCUAACUACGUG
rnacentral:rRNA from 1 species